CAUCUACUCCCUCCGUCCCAAAAUUCUUGUCUUAGAUUUGUCUAGAUACGGAUGUAUCUAAUACUAAAAUGUGACUUGAUACAUCCGUAUUUAGACAAAUCUAAGACAAAAAAUUUGGGACGGAGGGAGUAGAAU
rnacentral:pre_miRNA from 1 species